CCUCAGGUCUCAGGUAUCAGGCCUCAGGUCUCAGGCCUCAGGUCUCAGGUAUCAGGCCUCAGGUCUCAGGUAUCAGGUAUCAGGUCUCAGGUCUCAGGUCUCAGGUCUCAGGUCUCAGGUCUCAGGUCUCAGGCCUCAGGUCUCAGGUAUCAGGUCUCAGGUCUCAGGUCUCAGGCCUCAGGUCUCAGGUCUCAGGUCUCAGGUCUCAGGCCUCAGGUCUCAGGUCUCAGGUCUCAGGUCUCAGGCCUCAGGUCUCAGGCCUCAGGCCUCAGGUCUCAGGUCUCAGGUCUCAGGUUUCAGGUCUCAGGU